AGGAGGAGGAGGAGGAAGAGGAGGAGGAGGAGUGGGAGGGGAGUGGGUGAGAGACUGACGACUAUAUCUUGAGAGGAAGAGGGGGAAGAAGAGGAGAGGAGGAGGAGAAGGAGGACUGAUGGACUCUAUCUAUAGAGAGAGAGGAUGAGAAGGAGGACUGAUGGACUUUAUCUCUAGAGAGAGCAGGAGAAGGAGGACUGAUGGACUAUAUCUCUAGAGAGAGAGAGAGGAGGAGAAGGAGCACUGAUGGACUAUAUCUCUAGAGAGAGAGAGGAGGAGAAGGAGCACUGAUGGACUAUAUCUCUAGAGAGAGAGAGGAGAAGGAGGACUGAUGGACUAUAUCUCUAAAGAUGGAGGAGGAGAAGGAGGACUGAUGGACUAUAUCUCUAGAGAGAGAGAGGAGGAGAAGGAGGACUGAUGGACUUUAUCUCUAGAGAGAGAGAGGAGGAGAAGGAGCACUGAUGGACUAUAUCUCUAAAGAUGGAGGAGGAGAAGGAGGACUGAUGGACUAUAUCUCUAGAGAGAGAGAGGAGGAGAAGGAGGACUGAUGGACUAUAUCUCUAGAGAGAGAGAGGGGAGGAGAAGGAGCACUGAUGGACUAUAUCUGUAGAGAGAGAGAGGAGGAGAAGGAGGACUGAUGAACUAUAUCUCUAGAGAGAGGAGGAGGACUGAUGGACUAUAUCUGUAGAGAGAGAGGAGGAGAAGGAGGACUGAUGGUCUAUAUCUCUAGAGAGAGGAGGAGGACUGAUGGACUAUAUCUAUAUAUAUAGAGAGAGAGCCUGUAUCUGGGACAGUUGGUGUGUCUAUAAAUUUGAGGAAAAUACAUUCUGACUGAAGAUGGAAACAGUCUGGGGUUGUGGAGAAAAGAAAGAGACACAGAAGUUGAAUAUGUUGUUCUACUUUAUGACCAGAGCCCAAAGUAGUGCACUAUAUCGGGAAUAGGGCUCUGGUCUAAUGUAGUGCACUAUAUCGGGAAUAGGGCUCUAGUCUAUAGAAGUGCACUAUAUCGGGAAUAGGGCUCUGGUCUAAUGUAGUGCACUAUAUAGGAAAUUGGGCUCUGGUCUAUUCAAGUGCACUAUAUAGGGAAUAAGGUAUCAUUUGGGCCUCUAUAUAAUAUUGAUAAUGUGUUGAGAGAGACAGCAUGGUUCUUUAUGUUAAACCUGAAAUAAAUGUUCCUGUUUACCAUC
ensembl:lncRNA